CAGCCAUAUACAUUUACCAUUUUUCAUUGACCUUGGCAACAGAAUAUGGCAGUAUAUUUUUUCAUGAGCAGAGGAAUCUUUUCCACUUUCAGGAGAGGGACAAGGUAAUGUAAUGACGAGGGCUCUUUAACUCCUGUAAGCUGGAGCAUGGCUGGACAGAUGGUUUUCACUCUACCUAACCUAACCUUUCCUUGUCUCACUCAAUCACUCCAGCAGCAUUAUUUGUCCUUUAUCUCCAUGCCUGGACUGAGAUUCAUCUGGAAUGAAUCUAGUUUAUAGGGUGGGAAUCUGGCAAUGGGAAUGGAGGUAUGCAGCAGCAAGACCAUAUUGUAGCAUGUCCUUUGAAAUGAGAGCCUGCGAGGUGCUAAAUAUUGAACUCUUCCAUUUUCCUUGGCAUGUGGUUCGGGUUUAUUGGUGAUUCUGAUGGAUCUGCACCUGGGGAAAGAUUUUGAUCGCGUGAGAAAGAAGCCAUUUGGAAAGCAGGAUUGCUGUAGGAUCUGAAAGAUCUCAUCCUGUAGGAUUUGACCAUGCAUCUUUGAACUUGAAUCUCUAGAGAUGAAUGAUCUAUUUUAGUCAAGUCUUUCCAAUCCACCGACAGUUUCUGGGCCUGAUUCUGAUCUCAAAUCCUGCAUAAAUCAGGAAUGAUUAGUGAUGCCAGUGGAGUGUCACAGUUGUAGAAGUGGGGUAAAAUUAGAUCAGAACGAGGAUCUAUAUUUAUAACUACAGAAUGUGUAAUUUGUAGUAGAUUAAGAUUUAAAAACCACAGCAUUUACAGAACUAUUUCUCAGAGGUUUUGUGUAUCUGUACUGCAAAUCUACAACACACACUUGGUGGAACACAAGUGGUAAACAACACAAAUGCACACAGAGAAGUAGUUGUCAUACAAUAAAAUCUCGGGCACAAUUAAGGUAAAGGAACAGGAUGUAUGUUCAACAUUGUUAUGCCCAAUAUAUCAUUGGUGGAAAAGUAAUGGAAAGUGAAAUUAUUUGUUAGAAUGCAAUUUAGGGAACCUGAUAGGUUGUCCAUUUUAUUCAAUUUAUAAUUAAGAUAGUGUUUAAAUUUGAAAUGAAUUCUAUAUAUGCAUGUUCAAUAGGCUAUAGCACAACAAUAAGAAUGGAAUCACAUCUCAUUUUAUCAUAAAUUGUGUAAUAAGCGAUAAGGUAAAAACUAGGGCUACAAUCCUUCCAGCAAAAAUGAAAGAGAGCGACCUCAAUUGCCCUAAUUCAUUCUGCUUUUUUUUUUUUAGUCUCUUCAUUUUCCCUCUGUUCACAUUAUUAGCUUACACAUGAGUGCAUUAUUAGAAAAUAACAAAGCCAAACGGGGAGCCUUGGAAGAAGUAGGAGAUAGGAUCCCCUCUACAGCUGAAAAGUAUUCUCAUUUCAUUUGUUAGGAGUUGCAAAAAUAGUUUUAUUGCCAGGGAGGGACAAUGACCUCUCUCUUUCAACAAGCUUGGUGGUUGGUCUUUUGAUGGAAAAAACAAGGGGAUACAACAUCUGGUAAUUUGUGUUACCGGGCUUAGCUGAAGGUCUUAACGAUGUAAGCAGAUUAUUUCUGAAGAAGAACAAAAAAAAUUCCGGAAGACUCAAUGAACUAUUUAAAGUUAUUAGCCGGUGCAUUCUGGCACUUCAGCACUCUUUUUGGAUUCCUUUUCUUUUUAGAGGUACGCCUUGGGAGCAGAUUGUUCUAAAAGGAGUUCUACCACCUUCCAACUCCACAGCACUUUUCUGGUGGUCCUUGCGUGUUCCAUCAUGCAUGCUGGGCCCCAUUUUUCCCCCUCCAUUGCAAUGGAGACAAUUAUUUUUCUGAUUACGUUUUCUCCUGCCGAACAUUAAGAAGCCUGUACCACCCGUUCUGGGCAGGGAAGGCUGAACAACGCACAUAGCAGCAGUCGACCUCAGAUUUUAAACAGUGGGGGGGGGGAGAAAAAUUGAUGGGUGGAGAGUGAAGAAAAAGAUAAAUUAUGUGUUCACAUGUCCAGGAAUUUCAGGCUGAAAAAAAAUGCCCUAAGGAAAACAUUCUUCGCUUCCCCACUCAACCCAUGCAAAUUGCCUUAAAAAGUCUUGCACAAUUUUAGUACUUUAUUCCUUCCUUGAGUUCCUAUACUCCAAAUAUUUCAAUUGCCAGUAGUGUGGUGGUUAAAAUAUUUGCUAGGUUGUAUAGUUUUCAUUGUAGGAAAUUGAUCCAUAUUUCCCACACAAAGAAAAGUUAUAGAAGAGUCUAUAGGUUUAGAUUAAGGAACAUGUUCUUCAGAAAGCCACAUUGUCAAACAGAACAACUGGCCAAGUUUUGGAGAGGAGAAUACAGGUUAGGUUGAAGAUGGAGCAAACUCACUUAUUAGGGUUAAGCUAAAGUUUGACUAUAGCCACAAUAUUUCAGUUUGAAAACUAUUGUCUUCAUAUUCAUUUUACCAAACAUCUGCAGUACAUAGUGAAAUUUUGCAUGUAGAACUUUAUCAGGGAAGACACAAUAAGUAAAUAUGCAAAACCACAAACACCAACCCCAAAUCUUAUGUUAAAAGCUCGUUAUACUGUAGAUUUCAAAUGGAAAAAGCAAUGAAAUUCAACAGAAAUCUGAAUCUCUUCCGGGACAUUUUUAUGACCCACUGUUAAUUGCUAGCUGUCGUGUGUUUCAGGUUUGUAUUUUCCCAGAUUUAUAGAGUUUAGCGGCAGUUCAAUAGUUUUUUCACAAAGAUAAACAUCCACAUUAGAGUCUAAUAAGAAUUGAUCAUUUCUUUUUCCAUUGGUGUAAAUCAGAAGUAACUCUAUUGAAGCCGAUGGAAUUACACAAGUGUAAGGAGAAUUUGGCCCACUUUCUGUAAACAUUGUACCACACUGGUAUACGGCACAGUACCUUAAUGUAUAUAUAAGCCCAGUUAUAAUGGGCCAGAGUUUCAGUUGUGCUCAGAAGCAACCAUUUAGACACCAAGUUGCGUGGUAAGAUUUUCCCAAAGAGGUUAGAAUGUUGGGUAGGGAGUAUUUUGAAAAUCAGGCCAAAUAAAUGUUUGUCCUGGGACAACUCUACCUCUUAAGAAGGCAGAAAGGAUGGUUUUGGGUUUACGUUCUGAACUAGAGUUAGACAAUCUGGAUUCUUUUCGGCCACAGCGCUCCUCAGUAGCUUUGGGUAAAAUACACGCAGUAUGUCUUCACUGCUUUUUUAAAAAGGGGUAGGGGAGGGAGGGUUCAUAACUCAGGUUAGCUAACUCAAAUUAAAAUCGCAGCGACAACGUGUCAGGUCAGUUUUUAAACUCGGGGGAGCAUCUUGAGUUCCACCCCAGGCUCCCUUAUAGGCUUUAAUUGAGCUACCAAGUUAAAAGCCUCACUACCGGGUCUUCACUGUUAUUUUAAGCAGAUUUCAGAGUAGCAGCCGUGUUAGUCGGUAUCCGCAAAAAGAACAAAGAACAGGAGUACUUGUGG